rnacentral:tRNA from 1 species
CAUUGUUUGGCCCAAUUCUGAUGUCGUCGGGCGUCUUGUUUGUACGCGCGAAAGCGUGCACGUCUGAUUGUGGCGGUGCGAUUCCGCCAUCACUGUC